CAGUCGCCACGGUAAUACGUAGGUGGCAAGCGUUGUCCGGAAUUAUUGGGCGUAAAGGGCUCGCAGGCGGUUUCUUAAAUCUGAUGUGAAAGCCCCCGGCUCAACCGGGGAGGGUCAUUGGAAACUGGGACACUUGAGUGCAGAAGAGGAGAGUGGAAUUCCACGUGUAGCGGUGAAAUGCGUAGAGAUGUGGAGGAACACCAGUGGCGAAGGCGACUCUCUGGUCUGUAACUGACGCUGAGGAGCGAAAGCGUGGGGAGCGAACAGGAUUAGAGACCCCGGUAGUCCCUGUCUCUUAUAC
rnacentral:rRNA from 1 species